rnacentral:rRNA from 1 species
CACGUAGGGGGCAAGCGUUGUCCGGAUUUAUUGGGCGUAAAGAGCUCGUAGGUGGUUCGGUAAGUCGGGUGUUAAACCCCCAGGCUCAACCUGGGGACGCCACUCGAUACUGCUGUGACUUGAGUCCGGUAGGGGAGCGUGGAAUUCCUGGUGUAGCGGUGAAAUGCGCAGAUAUCAGGAGGAACACCAGCGGCGAAGGCGGCGCUCUGGGCGGGUACUGACACUGAGGAGCGAAAGCGUGGGUAGCAAACAGG